AUGGGAACGCGAAGAACCUUACCUACUCUUGACAUCCAGAGAACUUUCCAGAGAUGGAUUGGUGCCUUCGGGAACUCUGAGACAGGUGCUGCAUGGCUGUCGUCAGCUCGUGUUGUGAAAUGUUGGGUUAAAGUCCCGCAACGAGCGCAACCCGUUAUCCUUUGUUGCCAGCGGUUAGGCCGGGAACUCAAAGGAGACUGCCAGUGAUAAACUGGAGGAAGGUGGGGAUGACGUCAAGUCAUCAUGGCCCUUACGAGUAGGGCUACACACGUGCUACAAUGGCGCAUACAAAGAGAAGCGACCUCGCGAGAGCAAGCGGACCUCAUAAAGUGCGUCGUAGUCCGGAUUGGAGUCUGCAACUCGACUCCAUGAAGUCGGAAUCGCUAGUAAUCGUAGAUCGAGAAUGCUACGGUG
rnacentral:rRNA from 1 species